rnacentral:rRNA from 1 species
CAAUAGCGUAUAUUAAAGUUGUUGCAGUUAAAAAGCUCGUAGUUGGAUUUCUGGUUGAAGCGACCGGUCGGGCGUUGAUUCGUCUGCACUGGAGUCGGUUUUGGCCAUCCUCUAGGAAAGUGCGUCUGGUAUUAAGUUAUCGGGCGUAUGAUCCUGGUCUUUUACUGUGAAAAAAUUAGAGUGUUUAAAGCAGGCCUUCGCCUUGAAUACAUUAGCAUGGAAUAAUAAGAUAGGACUUUGGUCUAUUUUGUUGGUUUGCAGACCGAAGUAAUGAUUAAUAGGGAUAGUUGGGGGUAUUUAUAUUCCGAUGUCAGAGGUGAACUUCUUAGAUUUUCGGAAGAUAAACUUAUGCGAAAGCAUUUACCAAGGAUGUUUUCAUUAA